AGUGGGCACCCAUAAUAGAUUUAAUAAAGGUAGACUGACUCUGUCUUGCUCUUUCCCUCUGUAUGUAGAAAGCACAUCUCCUCCACAACCCCAAGUAAGGAGAGCUGAGCCGUGGGCCAGGAGGAGACUCGCUGCAUUCAUCUCCAAGCGUGAUCAUGAAUCUGAGCCGGAAAAUGCUGCUGGAUUUGGCAGAUGAAGAACUUUGAAAUUGAGUUUGACAGUGUUGGAGUAGCAGUGAGUGAUACUUAAUACCGCACAGAGGAAGGAGAGGAUAGAAGACGAGGUGAGUGAUGCUGCGGAUCUGGACUGUUUGUGCCUCCAUGCUGGGAGGGAUUUCUGCCAAAUACAAAUAAACACAAAGCGGAACGCACUGUGCACACAUCAUACAUACACACACACACACACACACACACACACACACAUACA